rnacentral:rRNA from 1 species
GACGAACGCUGGCGGCGUGCUUAACACAUGCAAGUCGUACGGUAAGGCCCUUUCGGGGGUACACGAGUGGCGAACGGGUGAGUAACACGUGAGUAACCUGCCCACAACUUUGGGAUAACGCUAGGAAACUGGUGCUAAUACUGGAUAUGUGCUCCUGCUGCAUGGUGGGGGUUGGAAAGCUCCGGCGGUUGUGGAUGGACUCGCGGCCUAUCAGCUUGUUGGUGGGGUAGUGGCCUACCAAGGCGGCGACGGGUAGCCGGCCUGAGAGGGUGACCGGCCAAAUGGGAACGGGGUAAGGCCCAGAAUCCUAAGGGGAGGAGGAGGGGGGAAAAAUUCAAAAUGGGGGGAAAGCUGAAGCAAGAAAGGCGGGUGGGGGGUGAAGGGCCUCGGGGUGUAAACCGCUUUCAGCAGGGACGAAGCUUUUUGUGACGGUACCUGCAGAAGAAGCACCGGCUAACUACGUG